CCUACGGGAGGCAGCAGUGAGGAAUAUUGGUCAAUGGGCGGGAGCCUGAACCAGCCAAGCCGCGGGAAGGAAGAAGGCGCCAGGCGUCGUAAACUUCGUUUGUCGGGGAACAAAGGGCGCCACGCGUGGCGUUGUGAGUGUACCCGAAGAAAAAGCAUCGGCUAACUCCGUGCCAGCAGCCGCGGUAAUACGGGGGAUGCGAGCGUUAUCCGGAUUUAUGGGGUUUAAAGGGUGCGUAGGCGGUCCGGAAAGUCAGCGGUAAAAGCCCGGGGCUCAACCCCGGCGCGCCGUUGAAACUGUCGGACUAGAGCCGGCGAGAAGUACGCGGAAUGCGCGGUGUAGCGGUGAAAUGCAUAGCUAUCGCGCAGAACUCCGAUUGCGAAGGCAGCGUACCGGCGCCGGACUGACGCUGAGGCACGAAAGCGUGGGUAUCGAACAGGAUUAGAUACCCGGGUAGUC
rnacentral:rRNA from 1 species